GAAUUGCAGAAUUCCGCGAAUCAUCGAGUUUUUGAACGCAAGUUGCGCCCGAGGCUCGUCCGAGGGCAUGCCUGCCUGAGCGUCCA
rnacentral:rRNA from 1 species